GGCGGGCUCGGGCGCGGUGGCGCCCGCGGGCUUCAAGGCUGCAAAGCGGCGGA
rnacentral:tRNA from 1 species